rnacentral:tRNA from 1 species
AGCAGCAUGGCGCAGUGGUAGCGCGCAGGGCUCAUAACCCUGAGGUCACUCGAUCGAAACGAGUUGCUGCUA